GGCAAUAUCCGGUUCUCUCUGUCGUGGGAGUUUGACGAAAGAGCGAAUUAUCAUGUAAAUUUCUGUUUGGAUUUGUGUAGUAACGGACUAGAUUAUUGAGUAACGCUUUAAAAGAGUAAAAGUGGCAUUAACUUUAAGUUAGUAAAUUUGUUUAUUUUAUUAAUGCUAUAAAGAUUGAAAUUUUCUUACUUUUUGUGACAUAAACUUUUGGAAUAAAACUUUCAUAUAGAACCAGAAAAUACAGAUACUAUUGAAUUAGGUAAAGGAAUGUUUUCACAGUUACUGAUAUUGGUAUUAUUAGACAGCGUUUUAGCAAAAUCACUAUCAUCGAGCGGCAACGAGCACAUAGGAGUAGGUAGAUCGAAACGACAUUUAAGCGAAUUUAAAGUUGCAGAAUACAUGACACUUUUAGGAAACAGCUGUGCAUCAGUGAAUUGUGGGCUCUACAACAUAAUGCAAAGCGGACGACGAAAGAGAAGGGCACCUGUGGAUUUUGGAACAUAUCUGGCAUGUUGUGGAUAGGGAUUAAUUUGCUUUUAAGAUGCAACAUUAUAAAUUAUGUUGCUGCAAACUAACAAAGACAGUUGUUAAAGCGAUGUGUAAAUAUUGUGUACAGAUAGUUUCCUCACCGUUGGAUCUGGGCAUUGUUAAAACAAUCUUUACCUUAUUUUAAUGACAUUUUAGCAUCAAGGAAUAACAGUUAACUGGAUUAGGAACUAAAGACUACGUUUGAAUAAAUCGAAUUUUCAUCGCUAAAUAAAAAAUUUAACAUGUACUUUUGCAAAUACACACAUUUUAAUGGUUAAGAUUUGAAAUCAAUGAUUGAAAUAAUAUUAGAUAUAAAGAAAUAAGAUGCAGUAUGUAAUUAGUAUUAACAUACUCUAAAUGCCACUUUGUUAUAAAUAUGAUAUAUUUGUAUUUCCCUUUUAUGGCUUUGAAAUUAUUAACAUUCCUAAAAUACACAAAAAUAAAUGCAUUCCAAGAAAUGUUUUUUUGAAGAAAAAAAACACAAAUCAUCUCAAAUUGGGUUCAAGAUUUAUAAAUAAAUAUCACAAUUCAACUAGAUCUUUUUUUUCGAGUAGAAAUACGAGACAGUUUCUUUCUAAGUAUAAUUUGUCCUUUCCUUUCACAUUCACGGAAUAAAGCUGUCAAAUAUUGAUGGCCAGAUCAUGUAUAACUGAAACUAAAACCAUGCAUAUCAUACAGUUUGCUUGUUACUUAAGUACAAACUUUCGACUUGUACAUUCAUUCGUGCAAUUUUAUUUAUUACCGUUUAUUGUAUCUAUUCGUUCAUUAUCAUACAUUUAAGUCGUGGGUCAUGUUCUAUCAUUCGAAUUUUUAUAUAUUGCAUCUUGCCUUUCAAGUAACUAAACUUUUCAAAAAUCGUCUGAUCAGGCGCGAUGCCAACCAGUUUGAAAGGAAAUUUCAACAAUAUUAACACCACGAAACGUUAGUAGAAUUAAAAAUAAAUUCAGAAUUAAAUUCAGAAUUUACAAACAAAUUUAAAAAGGAGGGUCCAACCCCCCGGAAUACCCCUCCUGUCUUCGAUAUGCAUCUUUUUAGAUCGUGCAAUAAGCUCUAACCAAGCUUAAAUUACUCAAGGUUCAUAUGAAUAGACACUGUUAGCGUUGGAUUCUGCAUAUUGUCUUGAAAUGACAACUCCCUAUGUUUGAUUUCAUGAAAAAAUAAACUUUUUUUGACUUCUUGA